UUUACCUCUUAUCAUGUAUAUGUUAUAAGAAAACUUGUUGAUGUGCUUGCUUGCCUUGGUUGUAGUUUAUUAAUGGAUAAACAACAUUAGAUUAAAAAAAUGUAGUCUAAUUAUAAGCAAUGAACUACGUGAUCAUUUUAAUGACAACUACUACAAUUAUAAAAUUGCGUAAGAGUUUUCAUUAAAAUGAUCAUGUAGUAUUCUCAAAAAGAAAAAAAUUAUCAAGUUGUUUGUCAUCGGUGCAAACUCAACUCUCAAAAGGAAUCAGAAAUCACAAAAUUGGUGAGUUUUCAACAUAUGUGACAGAAUCGCACAUCUUAAGUGGCAUUAACACCUUUAUGAAGCGA
rnacentral:lncRNA from 1 species